rnacentral:rRNA from 1 species
UAGCGGAGGAAAAGAAACUAACAAGGAUUCCCCUAGUAACGGCGAGUGAACCGGGAAGAGCUCAAAUUUGAAAUCUGGCGUGCUCAGUGCGUCCGAGUUGUAAUCUAUAGAGUCGUUUUCCGUGCCGGACUGUGUCCAAGUCCCUUGGAACAGGGUAUCAAAGAGGGUGAUAAUCCCGUACUUGACACAAUGACCGGUGCUCUGUGAUACGUCUUCUACGAGUCGAGUUGUUUGGGAAUGCAGCUCAAAAUGGGUGGUGAGUUCCAUCUAAAGCUAAAUAUUGGCGAGAGACCGAUAGCGAACAAGUACCGUGAGGGAAAGAUGAAAAGCACUUUGGAAAGAGAGUUAAACAGUACGUGAAAUUGUUAAAAGGGAAACGAUUGAAGUCAGUCGUGACUGAGAGGCUCAGCCGGUUCUGCCGGUGUAUUCCCCUCAGUCGGGUCAACAUCAGUUUUGUUCGGUGGAUAAGGGCGGUUGGAAGGUGGCACCCUCGGGUGUGUUAUAGCCAACUGUCGCAUACAUCGGAUGAGACUGAGGAAUGCAGCUCGCCUUUAUGGCCGGGGUUCGCCCACGUUCGAGCUUAGGAUGUUGACAUAAUGGCUUUAAACGACCCGU